rnacentral:rRNA from 1 species
AUUGAACGCUGGCGGCAUGCUUUACACAUGCAAGUCGAACGGUAACAGGCCUUCGGGUGCUGACGAGUGGCGAACGGGUGAGUAAUGCAUCGGAACGUGCCCAGAGGUGGGGGAUAACGCAGCGAAAGCUGUGCUAAUACCGCAUGUGAUCUGAGGAUGAAAGCGGGGGACCAGGCAGCAAUGUUUGGCCUCGCGCCUUUGGAGCGGCCGAUGUCAGAUUAGGUAGUUGGUGGGGUAAAGGCCUACCAAGCCGACGAUCUGUAGCUGGUCUGAGAGGACGACCAGCCACACUGGGACUGAGACACGGCCCAGACUCCUACGGGAGGCAGCAGUGGGGAAUUUUGGACAAUGGGCGCAAGCCUGAUCCAGCAAUGCCGCGUGCGGGAAGAAGGCCUUCGGGUUGUAAACCGCCUUUGUACGGAACGAAAAGGCUCUGGCUAAUACCUGGGGCUGAUGACGGUACCGUAAGAAUAAGCACCGGCUAACUACGUG